GAAAUGCGAUACGUAAUGUGAAUUGCAGAAUUCAGUGAAUCAUCGAAUCUUUGAACGCACCUUGCACCCCUUGGUAUUCCGAGGGGUGCACCCGUUUGAGUGUCGUGAACGCCCUCAACCUCCUCGGUUUAUCGACCAAGGAAGGCUUGGACUUUGGAGGUUUUUCUUUGCUGGCCUCGUUCCGAAGCCGGCUCCUCCUAAAUGAAUUAGUGGGGUCUGUCGUGCCGAUCCUCGACGUGAUAAGUACGCUUCUACGUCUUGGCGUCGGCCCGUAAUCCUGCUUCAAAUCGUCUUUGAACAAAGACACUCGUUCGAGUCUUGACUCGACCUUAUGAACCUUGACCUCAAAUCGGGUGAGACUACCCGCUGAACUUAA
rnacentral:misc_RNA from 1 species